UACGGAGGGAGCUAGCGUUGUUCGGAAUUACUGGGCGUAAAGCGCACGUAGGCGGCUAUUCAAGUCAGAGGUGAAAGCCCGGGGCUCAACCCCGGAACUGCCUUUGAAACUAGGUAGCUAGAAUCUUGGAGAGGUCAGUGGAAUUCCGAGUGUAGAGGUGAAAUUCGUAGAUAUUCGGAAGAACACCAGUGGCGAAGGCGACUCGCUGGACAAGUAUUGACGCUGAGGUGCGAAAGCGUGGGGAGCAAACAGG
rnacentral:rRNA from 1 species